rnacentral:misc_RNA from 1 species
CCGAGUGCAGGUCUUGCCCCCCGGGGCAAGGCCUAACCUCCCACCCGUGAAUACCUGACCAACGUUGCUUCGGCGGUGCGCCCCCCCCGGGGGCAGCCGCCGGAGACCACACCGAACCUCUUGUUUUUAGUGUUGUCUGAGCUUGAUACAAGCAAACCUAAUUA